rnacentral:rRNA from 1 species
AACGAACGCUGGCGGCGCGCCUAAUACAUGCAAGUCGAGCGAGAAGACGUAGCAAUACGUUUGUAAAGCGGCGAACGGGUGAGGAAUACAUGGGUAACCUACCCUCGAGUGGGGAAUAACUAGCCGAAAGGUUAGCUAAUACCGCGUACGCUCCUUGGACUUCGGUUCAGGGAGGAAAGCGAUACCGUGGGUAUCGCGCUCUUGGAUGGGCUCAUGUCCUAUCAGCUUGCUGGNGAGGUAACGGCUCACCAAGGCUUCGACGGGUAGCUGGUCUGAGAGGACGAUCAGCCACACUGGCACUGCGACACGGGCCAGACUCCUACGGGAGGCAGCAGUAAGGAAUAUUGCGCAAUGGGCGAAAGCCUGACGCAGCGACGCCGCGUGGGGGAUGAAGGUCUUCGGAUUGUAAACCCCUUUCGGGAGGGAAGAUGGAACGAGCAAUCGUUCGGACGGUACCUCCAGAAGCAGCCACGG